UACAGAGGUCCCAAGCGUUGUUCGGAUUCACUGGGCGUAAAGGGUGCGUAGGUGGUGGGGUAAGUCGGAUGUGAAAUCUCCGAGCUCAACUCGGAAAUGGCAUUGGAAACUACCCUGCUAGAGGGUCGGAGGGGGGACUGGAAUACUUGGUGUAGCAGUGAAAUGCGUAGAUAUCAAGUGGAACACCAGUGGCGAAAGGCGAGUCCCUGGACGACUCCUGACACUGAGGCAACGAAAGCUAGGGGAGCAAACAGG
rnacentral:rRNA from 1 species